rnacentral:rRNA from 1 species
AGUGAACGCUGGCGGCGUGCCUAAUACAUGCAAGUCGAACGAAGUGGAGCACGGGUGAGUAAUAUAUAGUUAAUCUCCCCUACACAGAGGCAAAACAGUUGGAAACGGCUGUUAAUACCUCAUAGUGUAGGAUGGGACUAUAUCGUAUCAGCUAGUUGGUAAGGUAAUGGCGUACCAAGGCGAUGACGCGUAACUGGUCUGAGAGGAUGAGCAGUAACAUUGGAAGUGAGACACGAUUCAGACACCUACGGGAGGCAGCAGUAAGGAAUAUUGCGCAAUGGGGGAAACUCUAACGCAGCAACGCCGCGUGGAGGAUGACACUUUUCGGAGCGUAAACUCCUUUUAUCAGGAAAGCGGUACCUGAUGAAUAAGCACCGGCUAACUCCGUGCCAGCAGCCGCGGUAAUAC